GUGGCUAUAGUUCAAUGGUAGAGCACUUGGUUGUGGUCCAAGCUACGAGGGUUCGAUUCCCUCUAGCCACCCCA
rnacentral:tRNA from 1 species